rnacentral:rRNA from 1 species
UACGGAGGAUGCGAGCGUUAUCCGGAUUUAUUGGGUUUAAAGGGUGCGUAGGCGGACUGUCAAGUCAGCGGUAAAAUUGGGAGGCUCAACCUCUUCCCGCCGUUGAAACUGGUGGUCUUGAGUGGAUGAGAAGUACGCGGAAUGCGUGGUGUAGCGGUGAAAUGCAUAGAUAUCACGCAGAACUCCGAUUGCGAAGGCAGCGUACUGGCAUCCAACUGACGCUGAGGCACGAAAGCGUGGGGAUCAAACAGG